UAGUUGCGUGUUGUACUCAGUCUGAUGAGCCCGCCGCGUGAGUGAUGAAGGCUUUCGGGUUCUAAAGCUCUGUUGUUUGGGAAGAACAAGUCUGAGAGUAACUGCUUGGGCCUUGACGGUACCUAACCAGAAAGCCCCGGCAUACUACAUGCCAGCAGCCGCGGUAAUA
rnacentral:rRNA from 1 species